UGGAAGCCCCAGCUGAUGGGUGUGUACCUCACUGUUAAACCAAGAGGUCAGCACAAGCCCAGUGGAUAAGACAGCUGAGUAAAGCUCCUUAUCGGGCCUGCAGAAGGACCUUCGUCUGACCUCUACAAACAUUCCUGCAAAACACUGAUGACAGAAGACGACCCGCUGUCUCUGUGCUAUCAUUACGCAACUGCUGAAAAUGCUGUGCUCUGAUGUUUGGCUGACUGAGCUGUGCACUGCAGGACAUCUCCAUGGGACCUCCUCUUUCUGUUUGGCCUUGAUCUAAGCCAGAAUGACCACUGCUGACCACUCUUCAUCUCAUCUGAAGAUUAUGUGCUAUGAAGCCAGUAGAAUAUGUGCGACUCACUGCCUAUGACUAGCAAAUUCAGCUGUGACUAAAGAAGAUUCACUUUGCUCCUGGUGUGUUAAGUAGCUUUCGGAUGCAGGAAAAUACACAGCUGACCUCCAGCAACAUUAGAAUGACAUUCAAACAGACUUCAGUGCUCUAAUGCGAGAAGUGGAGGGAGACGAUAAGGACAGAGCUGAACUGUUUAGCCGAGCACACUCAUCCAGAAUGAAUCAAACUCACAAAUCGCCUACGCAAACAAAAAUGCCAGCGAAGUACGAAAGAUCCAAUUUAUCAGCAUUACCCAACACUCUUUAAAAAAAUGUGCUACAAAGGGCUACUUUGAGAAAUGCCACAGUUCCCUAAAGAGCUACGUUUGAACAAAACCUUUUUACAAGUGGAAACAUAAGGUUUUGUUGUUAUAGAGUGGCCCUGCAAUGGACUGGUGACCUCUCCAGGGUGUAUCCUGCAUUUCGCCCAAUGACAGCUGGGAUAGGCUCCAACUCAAACCCCCCUUGAUGGCCCAGAAGGACAAUUGGCUUAGAAGAUGUGUGUGUCUGUGUGUGUGUGUGUGUGUGUGUGUGUGUUAAGAGUACUAAAAUGCUGCCCUUUACAAUGUGUCAACAUUUCAAUGAAUGGGCCAAUAAAAGUACCCAAAAACUAA